rnacentral:lncRNA from 1 species
CCCACCAUGUGUGUCCACACCCACUCUCGUGCCACAGCCGCGCGUGAGCCGGGAGUGUCAGAUGCAUGCCAGGGCAGCCAUCUCCAUUCCGGCCCAGUGUGGUGCUGAUGCUGAGAGACCCUCAUGGCUUAAUCGCAUCACUGCGGGUUGUUUGGAAAGGAAGGGGUGGGGCACUGGGGAACUCCAUCGCUAAUUCUCUUUUUCUUUCAUUCAGUGAGAAAAUGAGACCAGCAGCCAGCAGGAGCCACACAGAUGGCGCAGGCAUGACCCACAUUGCCGGCGGGAAGACCCUCGGCGCCCUGGAGCCCGCGGAGCCACUGGGGCCACCCAAUCUCGCCGGCGCCUCGGCCAUGCACCUGAGCCUGCUGGACAUGCGUCACGGCAUGGCAGAGCUCAGAUGCCAGCUGCAGCAGAUGCAACAGCUGCAGGUAGCAUGCACGUCCCUCUCCCCCCUCACCGACCCCUCCUCCUGUCCUAUGGCUUGGCCACCACGAUUGACAAAUAGGAAAAAAGCAGACGAAUCUGUGCCCUGGCUCAGGUCCUAGGGAACCAGGGGCUGCGGUCUCUGUGACACCGUGCAUUUGCACCGCGUCGGCCUAACACCUCACUGCCUGGACAACGCUGGCCUCGCCUGGUGUCACCCGGAUGCAGGCUUCUGCGCUGCCCUUGGGGAGCUCUCGUGCAGCACUGCUAAAAGCAAGCGCACUCAGGAGCCUGGUGCCCUCCAUCUCCCCCCAGACCUCCACGAUGGAGAAUUCUCCCAUCACCUAUCUAAGGCUGACAAAGGGAUUUCCCUGGGCCAAGAAGGGUGGUGUGCCCGAGGGCCCUGCCCCAAGGCCCCAGCACCAGAUGGGCCUGACCAGGCUGCCCAGUGUCCCCAGCUCCCAGGGCCGCUGCAUCUCUGUGCUUGGAUAGCCAGCGCACGUCCACUUCCGGUCUGUGGCAUCCAUGAAGUUCCCCACUGCUGGUAUGAGCUCUACAGUCUUAGGGACACUUUGCAGGGUGGGCAUUUGGCUUCACGGUUAAGGCACUACCUUGCACACUGGAGUGCCUGGGUUCUGCUCCAGCUCUGGCUCCUACAUCCGGGUUCUUCCCAGUGCCUGGUGACGGCUGCAGGACUCAGGUCUCUGCCACCUAUCUAAGAGACCCUGAUUGAAUUUCCAACUCCCAGCUGUGGCCCUGGCCAUUGCAGGCAUUUGGAGAGUGAACCAGCAGAUGGGAGCUUGCUCUCUGUCUCUCGCAUUUAAAAAGAAAAAAAAAUUAAGACACUUUGCAAUGAAAUAAAGUGUCCAGGUCGGGCA